CAGGGUGUGGCUGAGAUAUUUAAGCAUCUCCCUUACACCGAGAAGACAUCCAUGCAAACUGGUUCACCCUGA
rnacentral:tRNA from 1 species